CCAAUGAUGUGCUCAUUUUGGCAGAAGUGAAAAUGGAAUGAUACUGAGAUUAGCAUGGCCCUUGCCCAAGGAUGACAUGCAAAUUUGUGAAGCAUCCAUGAAUUUU
rnacentral:snRNA from 1 species